CCUUGUGGAAAACAUUAUAGGAGGCCUU
rnacentral:sRNA from 1 species